UACAGAGGGUGCGAGCGUUAAUCGGAAUUACUGGGCGUAAAGCGUGCGUAGACGGUUUUGUAAGUCGGAUGUGAAAUCCCCGGGCUCAACCUGGGAAUUGCAUUCGAGACUGCAAGGCUUGGGUGCGGAAGAGGGAAGCGGAAUUUCCGGUGUAGCGGUGAAAUGCGUAGAUAUCGGAAGGAACACCAGUGGCGAAGGCGACCACCUGGACUGAUACUGACACUGAGGUGCGAAAGCGUGGGGAGCAAACAGG
rnacentral:rRNA from 1 species